rnacentral:rRNA from 1 species
UUUAAGACGAGGAUAACAAUUGGAAACGGUUGCUAAGACUGGAUAGGAAACAAAAAGGCAUCUUUUUGUUUUUAAAAGACCUUCUUAUGAAGGUAUGCUUAAAGAGGGGCUUGCGCCACAUUAGUUAGUUGGUAGGGUAAAAGCCUACCAAGACGAUGAUGUGUAGCUGGACUGAGAGGUUGAACAGCCACAUUGGGACUGAGACACGGCCCAAACUCCUACGGGAGGCAGCAGUAGGGAAUUUUCGGCAAUGGAGGAAACUCUGACCGAGCAACGCCGCGUGAACGAUGAAGUAUUUCGGUAUGUAAAGUUCUUUUAUUGAAGAAGAAAAAGUAGUGGAAAAACUAUAUUGACGUUAUUCAAUGAAUAAGCCCCGGCUAACUAUGUGCCAGCAGCCGCGGUAAGACAUAGGGGGCGAGCGUUAUCCGGAAUUAUUGGGCGUAAAGGGUGCGUAGGCUGUUAGAUAAGUCUAUAAUUUAAUUUCAGUGCUUAACGCUGUCUUGUUAUAGAAACUGUCUUGACUAGAGUGAGAUAGAGGCAAGCGGAAUUCCAUGUGUAGCGGUAAAAUGUGUAAAUAUAUGGAGGAACACCAGAAGCGUAGGCGGCUUGCUGGGUCUUUACUGACGCUGAGGCACGAAAGCGUGGGUAGCAAACAGGAUUAGAUACCCUGGUAGUCCACGCCGUAAACGAUGAGUACUAAGUGUCGGGGUAAAACUCGGUACUGAAGUUAACACAUUAAGUACUCCGCCUGAGUAGUACGUACGCAAGUAUGAAACUUAAAGGAAUUGACGGGACUCCGCACAAGCGGUGGAUCAUGUUGUUUAAUUCGAAGAUACACGAAAAAUCUUACCAGGUCUUGACAUACUCUGCAAAGCUAUAGAAAUAUAGUGGAGGUUAUCAGGGAUACAGGUGGUGCAUGGUUGUCGUCAGUUCGUGUCGUGAGAUGUUAGGUUAAGUCCUAAAACGAGCGCAACCCUUGUCGUUAAUUGCCAGCACGUAAUGGUGGGGACUUUAGCGAGACUGCCAAUUAAACAUUGGAGGAAGGUGAGGAUUACGUCAAAUCAUCAUGCCCCUUAUGAUCUGGGCUACAAACGUGAUACAAUGGCUGUGACAAAGAGUAGCUGAAACGCGAGUUUUUAGCCAAUCUCAAAAAAGCAGUCUCAGUUCGGAUUGAAGUCUGUAACUCGACUUCAUGAAGUUGGAAUCGCUAGUAAUCGCGAAUCAGCAUGUCGCGGUGAAUACGUUCUCGGGGUUUGUACACACCGCCCGUCAAACCACGAAAGUUAGCAAUACCCGAAAACAGUAGCUUAACUUCGUAAGAAGAGGGAACUGUCUAAGGUAGGGUUGAUGAUUGGGGUUAAGUCGUAACAAGGUAUCCCUACCGGAAGGUGGGGAUGGAUCA